rnacentral:rRNA from 1 species
CUUGAGCUUGAUCCUGGCUCAGGACGAACGCUGGCGGCAUGCCUAAUACAUGCAAGUCGAACGCUGAAGCCCGUGCUUGCACGGGUGGAAGAGUGGCGAACGGGUGAGUAACACGUGGGAAACCUGCCCAUAAGAGGGGGAUAACAGUCGGAAACGACUGCUAAUACCGCAUAGGUCAAGAAACCGCAUGGUUUCUGGAUGAAAGGAGGCUUCGGCUUCCGCUUAUGGAUGGUCCCGCGGCGUAUUAGCUAGUUGGUGAGGUAGAGGCUCACCAAGGCGAUGAUACGUAGCCGACCUGAGAGGGUGAUCGGCCACACUGGGACUGAGACACGGCCCAGACUCCUACGGGAGGCAGCAGUAGGGAAUCUUCCACAAUGGGUGAAAACCUGAUGGAGCAAUGCCGCGUGAGUGAAGAAGGUCUUCGGAUCGUAAAGCUCUGUUGUAAGAGAAGAACAGAUAGGGUAGUAACUGGCCUUAUUUUGACGGUAUCUUACGCAGAAAGUCAUCGUGACUAAUCUAACGUGCCAGCAGCCGCUUA